CGGACGGGGCCGGGGGAAAAUGGCGGACGGGUGGAAGCGGGCGUGGGGCGGCCUGGAGGGAAAACGGGACCAGGCGGGCGGGUCCUCGGCCGGGCCGGAUCCGCGGGACCGGGUCCCCGGGGCUGCCGCGAGCACGUCGUGAGGUAUCUGGACCGCGUCAAGGGUCACCUUCUGUGUUACGGCAAGAGAAUCCUGCACAGCUGAUUCCACUUGCGGCUCAGGUGCCUCGUUGUAGGUGUCUCGUGCUGCUUGAGAGAUCCCCAGCCCAGGUUUGCAGCUGGUGGUGGAGCCCCCUGAGGGGAAGGGGCCAGCCCUGGGUCUGGGCAUUUUGGUCCUUUUUUUGGGAUGAAUAAAAAGGGGCGUGUGUCUGGGGAGCUGAUGAUGUCAUUUGGGGCACCCCAACAUCACCGGGGGAGCAAUGAGGCAGCGGAGGAGCAGCGUCGUUGCCGCCAUCGUCGGCAUUCAUCCUUCAUGUCGUGGUCGUCGUCGUUGUUCACGUCACUGUCGUGGUUGUCGUCGUCCGACGUCCCACCCUGCCCCUCUGCCGCCCGACGCCGCUCCCAGGACAGGCCCCCCCGGCCCCCCUCACCCGUGGGGCUGGGUGGGACACAGAGACUGUCAGCCCCCCCCAGAGGGUGCCGGGGUGCUGGGACACAAGGAAUGACCCCCCCCGGAGGGUGCCAGGAGGGACACACAAGGCCCUGGAGCAGCUGCUGUGACAGAGCUGAGUCCUGGAGCGUGGGGAGAGGUGGGUCAGGAUACCCAGAAUCCAUUUUGGGGGGGGGUGGGGGUGGUCUUUUCCCCCCCCUCCCCUCCUGGGGGGGGCUGGGUGCUGCUCCCUGGGUCCCCCCUGGACCCUCCCCCAAUCCUGGCUGGGUGAAGCCCCCCCCGCUUUGAACCCAGGGCUGUGGGGAACGCCCUUGGUGUGAGCCCCUGUGGAGUAAUUGCUAAAAUGAUCAAAAACACACAAUUGUUCGCACAUUAAGGUAAGGUAUAAAAUCAAAAAGCUUCUAGGGUAGAACACAGCCGCAGCUGGGAUGCGAAGAGUCUGCGAUUCCCUGUACGAUAUUGCUUGCAAAGCAACACGGGGGGCGAAGUGGAAUGGAGAGUCCACGGUCUCGCCCUGUGAAAAUCCAGCAGAUGUGGGAACGGGAUGGAGCUUAUGGAACUGAUAUCAGUCCUAUGGAACUGAUAAGCUGCAUAAUUACUACCCUGAGCCAACAGUCUGUCGAAUUUUGAUGAAAUGCUGUCCUUUGCGCAAACUUUGCUCAUUAUGAUGUCAUUACAAUACCAAAACGCACCUCCAUCCUGAAGGCUACCCGCCUCCAAGGUGCGACCGCUCCUCCUGGAGUCUGUGCCCUGAAUUUUUUGUAAACUCUACCUUUAAAUGUGAGGCGAGAGAAUUUUACACCAGUCAUAAUAAAGGUAUUUAUGACUGGAGUCACUCAAACUCCACCUUGAAGGUUAAAAAUAGUACAAAAAUAGCCCAAGAAAGGGGGGAUAUGAGAGAAGACACCAUCGUGAACAAAUCAAGGAGGACUCCAUCACCGACUGCCGUUGACUUCCAGGACCAGUCGACGGGAUGAGCCUUUCUUGCCCCCCAUAGGGACACCUUUGGGUAAGACUCGGACUAUACCGAUGCUUCCUCGGGAAACUUAGAAAUCUCUCUAGGGAGUCUUUUCCCUAUAUUUGUAGCCAGGCUGUAUUGUUUAGAAGUUUGUCACACGUUUUGUGUAAUUAACAAGACUUUUAUUUGCACGUGCUUUGCAGACAGUGUAUUUAUCACGGGCAACCCAUAAGAACCUAUAUAUCUGUUGCUUAAAUAAACCCCACUGUUU